rnacentral:misc_RNA from 1 species
ACACCAUCUUUAACCCAAGAGGUUUCUUGGGUCAAAGGAGUAUGAGUUUUACCCCUCACCAUUGAGGGGUUAACUUGAAAUAAAUGGUCAACUUGAGACCAAAGUUUAGCUAAUUGAAACAAUUUGGCAUAAUUUUAGUCACCAACAAGUUGACCCAUACUUUAUAUAACAA